GAUGAAGAACGCAGCAAAAUGCGAUAAGUAGUGUGAAUUGCAGAAUUCAGUGAAUCAUCGAAUCUUUGAACGCACAUUGCGCCCGCUAGUAUUCUGGCGGGCAUGCCUGUCCGAGCGUCAUUUCAACCCAUCAAGCUUAGCGCUUGUGUUGGAGCCCUGCGGCCGCCGCAGCCUCCUAAAAUCAGUGGCGGGCUCGCUAUCACGCUGAGUGCAGUAGUAUUCUUCUCACUCCUGUGGUGUAGCGGGUAACCAGCCGUAAACCCCCCCAUCUAUAAAGGUUGACCUCGGAUCAGGUAGGAAUACCCGCUGAACUUAAGCAUAUCAAUAAGCGGAGGA
rnacentral:misc_RNA from 1 species